rnacentral:tRNA from 1 species
GGGGAUUUAGCUCAGUGGUAGAGCGCUUGCCUAGUACGCGCAAGGCCCUGGGUUCGGUCCCCAGCUCCG